GCAGGGGAUGGAGCUCAGUGGGAGAGUGCUUGCUUAGCAUGCAUGAAGCCCUGGGUUCUAUCUCCAGCACUGCA
rnacentral:tRNA from 1 species